rnacentral:rRNA from 1 species
AGCGUACACGGUGGAUGCCUAGGCAGUCAGAGGCGAUGAAGGGCGUGUUAAUCUGCGAUAAGCGUCGGUAAGGUGAUAUAAACCGUUACAACCGGCGAUACCCGAAUGGGGAAACCCAGUGCAAUUCGUUGCACUAUCAUACGAUGAAUACAUAGUCGUAUGAGGCGAACCGGGGGAACUGAAACAUCUAAGUACCCCGAGGAAAAGAAAUCAACCGAGAUUCCCCCAGUAGCGGCGAGCGAACGGGGAGGAGCCCAGAACCUGAAUCAGUUCUUGUGUUAGUGGAAGCGUCUGGAAAGUCGCACAGCAAAGGGUGAUAGUCCCGUACACUAAAAUGCAUUAAUUGUGAGUUCGAUGAGUAGGGCGGGACACGUGACAUCCUGUCUGAAUAUGGGGGGACCAUCCUCCAAGGCUAAAUACUCCUGACUGACCGAUAGUGAACCAGUACCGUGAGGGAAAGGCGAAAAGAACCCCGGCGAGGGGAGUGAAAUAGAACCUGAAACCGUGUACGUACAAGCAGUGGGAGCCUACUUUGUUGGGUGACUGCGUACCUUUUGUAUAAUGGGUCAGCGACUUAUAUUUUGUAGCAAGGUUAACCGUAUAGGGGAGCCGUAGGGAAACCGAGUCUUAACUGGGCGAAUAGUUGCAAGGUAUAGACCCGAAACCCGGUGAUCUAGCCAUGGGCAGGUUGAAGGUUGGGUAACACUAACUGGAGGACCGAACCGACUAAUGUUGAAAAAUUAGCGGAUGACUUGUGGCUGGGGGUGAAAGGCCAAUCAAACCGGGAGAUAGCUGGUUCUCCCCGAAAGCUAUUUAGGUAGCGCCUCGUGAACUCAUCUUCGGGGGUAGAGCACUGUUUCGGCUAGGGGGCCAUCCCGGCUUACCAAACCGAUGCAAACUCCGAAUACCGAAGAAUGUUAUCACGGGAGACACACGGCGGGUGCUAACGUCCGUCGUGAAGAGGGAAACAACCCAGACCGCCAGCUAAGGUCCCAAAGUCAUGGUUAAGUGGGAAACGAUGUGGGAAGGCAUAGACAGCCAGGAUGUUGGCUUAGAAGCAGCCAUCAUUUAAAGAAAGCGUAAUAGCUCACUGGUCGAGUCGGCCUGCGCGGAAGAUGUAACGGGGCUAAACCAUGCACCGAAGCUGCGGCAGCGACGCUUAGGCGUUGUUGGGUAGGGGAGCGUUCUGUAAGCCGUUGAAGGUGGCCUGUGAGGGUUGCUGGAGGUAUCAGAAGUGCGAAUGCUGACAUAAGUAACGAUAAAGCGGGUGAAAAACCCGCUCGCCGGAAGACCAAGGGUUCCUGUCCAACGUUAAUCGGGGCAGGGUGAGUCGACCCCUAAGGCGAGGCCGAAAGGCGUAGUCGAUGGGAAACAGGUUAAUAUUCCUGUACUCGGUGUUACUGCGAAGGGGGGACGGAGAAGGCUAGGCUAGCCGGGCGACGGUUGUCCCGGUUUAAGCGUGUAGGGGGAGUGACUUGGUAAAUCCGGUUACUUAUUCAACCCUGAGGCGUGAUGACGAUGCACUACGGUGCAGAAGUAGUUGAUGCCAAGCUUCCAGGAAAAGCCUCUAAGCAUCAGGUAACAUCAAAUCGUACCCCAAACCGACACAGGUGGUCAGGUAGAGAAUACCAAGGCGCUUGAGAGAACUCGGGUGAAGGAACUAGGCAAAAUGGUGCCGUAACUUCGGGAGAAGGCACGCUGGCGCGUAGGUGAAGAGACUUGCUCUCGGAGCUGAAGCCAGUCGCAGAUACCAGCUGGCUGCAACUGUUUAAUAAAAACACAGCACUGUGCAAACACGAAAGUGGACGUAUACGGUGUGACGCCUGCCCGGUGCUGGAAGGUUAAUUGAUGGGGUCAGCCGCAAGGCGAAGCUCUUGAUCGAAGCCCCAGUAAACGGCGGCCGUAACUAUAACGGUCCUAAGGUAGCGAAAUUCCUUGUCGGGUAAGUUCCGACCUGCACGAAUGGCGUAAUGAUGGCCAGGCUGUCUCCACCCGAGACUCAGUGAAAUUGAACUCGCUGUGAAGAUGCAGUGUACCCGCGGCAAGACGGAAAGACCCCGUGAACCUUUACUAUAGCUUGACACUGAACAUUGAGCCUUGAUGUGUAGGAUAGGUGGGAGGCUUUGAAGCGUGGACGCCAGUCUGCGUGGAGCCAACCUUGAAAUACCACCCUUUAAUGUUUGAUGUUCUAACUCGGCCCCGUAAUCCGGGGUGAGGACAGUGUCUGGUGGGUAGUUUGACUGGGGCGGUCUCCUCCCAAAGAGUAACGGAGGAGCACGAAGGUUAGCUAAUCACGGUCGGACAUCGUGAGGUUAGUGCAAAGGCAUAAGCUAGCUUGACUGCGAGAGUGACGGCUCGAGCAGGUACGAAAGUAGGUCUUAGUGAUCCGGUGGUUCUGAAUGGAAGGGCCAUCGCUCAACGGAUAAAAGGUACUCCGGGGAUAACAGGCUGAUACCGCCCAAGAGUUCAUAUCGACGGCGGUGUUUGGCACCUCGAUGUCGGCUCAUCACAUCCUGGGGCUGAAGUAGGUCCCAAGGGUAUGGCUGUUCGCCAUUUAAAGUGGUACGCGAGCUGGGUUUAGAACGUCGUGAGACAGUUCGGUCCCUAUCUGCCGUGGGCGUUGGAAGAUUGAGAGGGGUUGCUCCUAGUACGAGAGGACCGGAGUGAACGCACCACUGGUGUUCGGGUUGUCAUGCCAAUGGCAUUGCCCGGUAGCUAAGUGCGGAAAAGAUAAGCGCUGAAAGCAUCUAAGCGCGAAACUUGCCUCGAGAUGAGUCUUCCCUGGGAACUUGA